GUAACACGUGGGAAACCUGCCCAGAAGCGGGGGAUAACACCUGGAAACAGAUGCUAAUACCGCAUAACAACUUGGACCGCAUGGUCCGAGUUUGAAAGAUGGCUUCGGCUAUCACUUUUGGAUGGUCCCGCGGCGUAUUAGCUAGAUGGUGAGGUAACGGCUCACCAUGGCAAUGAUACGUAGCCGACCUGAGAGGGUAAUCGGCCACAUUGGGACUGAGACAGGCCCAAAACUAAUACGGGAGGCAGCAGUAGGGAAUCUUCCACAAUGGACGAAAGUCUGAUGGAGCAACGCCGCGUGAGUGAAGAAGGGUUUCGGCUCGUAAAACUCUGUUGUUGAAGAAGAACAUAUCUGAGAGUAACUGUUCAGGUAUUGACGGUAUUUAACCAGAAAGCCACGGCUAACUACGUGCCAGCAGCCGCGGUAAUACGUAGGUGGCAAGCGUUGUCCGGAUUUAUUGGGCGUAAAGCGAGCGCAGGCGGUUUUUUAAGUCUGAUGUGAAAGCCUUCGGCUCAACCGAAGAAGUGCAUCGGAAACUGGGAAACUUGAGUGCAGAAGAGGACAGUGGAACUCCAUGUGUAGCGGUGAAAUGCGUAGAUAUAUGGAAGAACACCAGUGGCGAAGGCGGCUGUCUGGUCUGUAACUGACGCUGAGGCUCGAAAGUAUGGGUAGCAAACAGGAUUAGAUACCCUGGUAGUCCAUACCGUAAACGAUGAAUGCUAAGUGUUGGAGGGUUUCCGCCCUUCAGUGCUGCAGCUAACGCAUUAAGCAUUCCGCCUGGGGAGUACGGCCGCAAGGCUGAAACUCAAAGGAAUUGACGGGGGCCCGCACAAGCGGUGGAGCAUGUGGUUUAAUUCGAAGCUACGCGAAGAACCUUACCAGGUCUUGACAUACUAUGCAAAUC
rnacentral:rRNA from 1 species